UGUGUCUAGUGAUGGGCUGUAUAAUCUACCCUGAUGGCUGGGACAGUGAUGAGGUGCGGAGGAUGUGCGGUGAGCAGACAGACAAGUACUCCCUGGGAGCGUGCUCUAUGCGUUGGGCUUACAUCCUGGCUAUCAUGGGGGUCCUGAAUGCCCUCAUGCUCUCCUUCCUGGCCUUCGUACUGGGCAACAGGCAGGACGGACUCAUGACCGAGGAACUGCUGGCCGAGAGCAAGGCUGGGAAUGCCUAAAACAUCAAUAGGUGUUUUUCCUAGUGUGUGUGUUCACCGCUCAUCACUCUCCAGCUUUUUACCCAUCAUCCCCAGAAGAGGACAAGCACACAAUGGCUGUGGGAGAGAGAAAGAGAGAGGGGGGGAGAAAUGGAUAGCUAUGGAACUAGACCCCUCCACUCCAUUCACACUUGCACGUUGACACUGUGAUAUUCCACCCAUCACCCUCUAGUUUAUAAUAUAUACUGUAUCUGCCAAUGAUAUGUACAUACGUGUGUCUUUGUUGUCCGUCCUGCGCAUAGUCCUAGCCCUAUCGAGAGUCUCUACCCCACACUACUCCCUUAUCACUGAGCCUGUAGAACCCCAGCAGAGACUGACAACCCUUACACGACCGAUAAUCAACCAAGACAGGGACAGAGACUUUGACUGACCAACUGAAGACGUAUGGAUUAUCUGCAAGAAUGUGGAUGGGUUGUACUAUGUUGAAGUAUUAUACUGAUACAAAUACACAAACACGGUAGUACAGUUCACACAUAAAUGCACGUGGGUGAGAUAAUACACACACACACACAUCUAAAUUCACACGUGAAUACUAUAUAUAUAUAUAUAUACAUAUAUUAUAUAUAUUCAUUGACUUUAACCUUGUAAUAAAUCCAUACGCUAACACGUUGAGCAACAGUAGAUAUUAGUGUACCAUGCCAUCUCCUGAGUAUGUUUUAGUUGUGAAAAGAAGGAAAUGACCUAUUCUCAUCUAAUAUUGGGUGUACAUUUACGAUAUCUCAAAAUAAUGUGUGAACUCUUACAAACAAAACCUAUCCCUCCUCCUCAUUCUCCCCCUCUUCCUCAAAAGCCGUCUUUACUAGAGCACUGUUGUCUAACGUGAGUGGCUACAGUUACAGAUCAUUAAUAUAGAUCAUUAAUUGUAGUUUUACAAAGUUGGUGCUGAAAUAUAUGUAUAAAUACUAAAAUAUAAAAGAAGCACUGGUUGUUGGAAUUCAGUUGAGGAGAAUCUCAAAGUUUUGUAGUUUGUGGUAUGGUAUAUUCUUAUUCACUGUGAUGGGGGGAGGUAUUUGACGUAUGUCUGCUCCAUAUCUUGUAGCUGUUGGGUGAAUGCGUGUUUGUAUGAGUGUGAAUGUAGGGGGGUGGGGGUGGGUUGGUUCUUCUAUCCUUGGGCUCUAAAAUCCCCAAAAUUCUCCAUGACAGUAAAAUAAGGAAAAUUGUCCACGGGGGGACACUUCUCCCAUGUCCCCAUGAGAACAAAGGCUAUGUUAGGUUUAAGGUUAGGGUUAUAUUUUAGUGUUAGCGGUUAGGAGUUCGGUUUUGGGUUAAGGAAAAUAUGAUUAAUGGAAAUCAAUUUUAGGUCCCCAACGAGGAUAGAAGAACAAAACAUGUGUGUUUUUUAAAUGCACCUUUUUAAAUGUACCAACACACCAGCCUCGUCUCAUAACGACUCUUAUACUAUAUAGUCCUGAACAUACAAAUGUAUUUAUUUCCCUCUCUUGAUCUCUCGCUCUUUCUCCAUCUCAAUUCUUUCUCUAUUGCACACUCCCUCUCUCUCCCCCUUUCCAGCUGUCUCUCUCAUGUUUUUUUUUAAUUAGUGUGUUUGUCAAAUUAACCUUUUUAAUGUACCAACACUCUCUCUCCUCUUCCAUAUUUUUUCAGUAUGAGUAUGUUUGUUAAAUGCACCUUUUUUAAUGUUCCAACACACCAGCCUCAUCUCAUA